UACGUAGGGGGCAAGCGUUGUCCCGGAAUUAUUGGGCGUAAAGAGCUCGUAGGCGGCUCGGUAAGUCGGAUGUGAAACCUCCAGGCUCAACCUGGAGACGCCAUCUGAUACUGCCGUGGCUUGAGUCCGGUAGAGGAGCAGGGAAUUCCUGGUGAGCGGUGAAAUGCGCAGAUAUCAGGAGGAACACCAGCGGCGAAGGCGCUGCUCUGGGCCGGUACUGACGCUGAGGAGCGAAAGCGUGGGGAGCGAACAGG
rnacentral:rRNA from 1 species